rnacentral:rRNA from 1 species
AACGAACGCUGGCGGCAGGCUUAACACAUGCAAGUCGAACGAGAUCUUCGGAUCUAGUGGCAGACGGGUGAGGAACACGUGGGAACAUCCCUUUCAGUUCGGAAUAACGUUGGGAAACUAACGCUAAUACCGGAUACGUCCUUCGGGAGAAAGAUUUAUCGCUGAAAGAUUGGCCCGCGUCUGAUUAGCUAGUUGGUGAGGUAACGGCUCACCAAGGCUACGAUCAGUAGCUGAUCUGAGAGGAUGAUCUGCCACAUUGGGACUGAGACACGGCCAAACUCCUACGGGAGGCAGCAGUGGGGAAUAUUGGACAAUGGGCGCAAGCCUGAUCCAGCCAUGCCGCGUGAGUGAUGACGGCCUUCGGGUUGUAAAGCUCUUUUGUCCGGGAAGAUAAUGACUGUACCGGAAGAAUAAGCCCCGGCAAACUUCGUGCCAGCCGCCGCCGUAAAAC